GCAGCGUUGAUAUGUCUGGUAUUCUUGGGUUGAAACUGAACAACCAGUAUCUCAGACAUAUCGCCGUUGU
rfam:Enterobius vermicularis genome assembly, scaffold: EVEC_scaffold0000761